rnacentral:tRNA from 1 species
GAGGUGGCUCAGUGGUAGAGUGCUUGCCUAGCAUGCAAGAAGCCCUGGGUCCAAUUCCUCAGUACCUCA